rnacentral:lncRNA from 1 species
AUCGCCAUCAUGGCGCCCGGCGUGUUUGGAGUUCGGAUAGAUCAGACUCUUCGUUGGCCUCGUUUUUAGGUGUUUGAUCCGUGACGUUUCGUCGAAAAAUCACAAGCGCGCAUGCCGUAGGUGUUUGCCUGGUUGCAAGAUCUUGCCGAUUUCAACGUUUUUCCACCUCUUCGGUUGGCGUACGCUGAACUGGACCCUCGCAGCAAGAAUGGCACGUGGGAAUUGACACCGCGAUCGUGGAACACAUGGCUGAUCUGCCUCGAAUAACUGCAAGCCGGCGCGUGCGUAGUGCCGUGGAGAACGAUCAGAAGUCGUGGAC